GACGAACGCUGGCGGCGUGCUUAACACAUGCAAGUCGAACGGUGAAGCGCCUUCCUUUUUGGUGGGUGUGGAUGAGUGGCGAACGGGUGAGUAACACGUGAGUAACCUGCCCCCUUCUUCUGGAUAACCGCAUGAAAGUGUGGCUAAUACGGGAUAUUCUGGGUCUGUCGCAUGAUGGGUCUGGGAAAGAUAUUGUUUCGGUGGGGGAUGGGCUCGCGGCCUAUCAGCUUGUUGGUGGGGUGAUGGCCUACCAAGGCGGUGACGGGUAGCCGGCCUGAGAGGGUGGACGGUCACACUGGGACUGAGACACGGCCCAGACUCCUACGGGAGGCAGCAGUGGGGAAUAUUGCACGAUGGGCGCAAGCCUGAUGCAGCGACGCCGCGUGAGGGAUGGAGGCCUGCGGGUUGUGAACCUCUUUCGCCAGUGAAGCAGGCCUGCCUCGUUUGUGGGUGGGUUGACGGUAGCUGGAUAAGAAGCGCCGGCUAACUACGUG
rnacentral:rRNA from 1 species